rnacentral:rRNA from 1 species
CCUACGGGCGGCAGCAGUGGGGAAUAUUGGGCAAUGGGCGCAAGCCUGACCCAGCAACGCCGCGUGAAGGAAGAAGGCUUUCGGGUUGUAAACUUCUUUUAAGGGGGAAGAGCAGAAGACGGUACCCCUUGAAUAAGCCACGGCUAACUACGUGCCAGCAGCCGCGGUAAUACGUAGGUGGCAAGCGUUGUCCGGAUUUACUGGGUGUAAAGGGCGUGCAGCCGGAGAGACAAGUCAGAUGUGAAAUCCACGGGCUCAACCCGUGAACUACAUUUGAAACUGUUUCCCUUGAGUGUCGGAGAGGUAAUCGGAAUUCCUUGUGUAGCGGUGAAAUGCGUAGAUAUAAGGAAGAACACCAGUGGCGAAGGCGGAUUACUGGACGAUAACUGACGGUGAGGCGCGAAAGCGUGGGGAGCAAACAGGAUUAGAUACCCCUGUAGUC